GUAGGGCGCAAGCGUUGUCCGGAAUUAUUGGGCGUAAAGAGCUCGUAGGCGGCUUGUCACGUCGGGUGUGAAAGCCCGGGGCUUAACCCCGGGUCUGCAUUCGAUACGGGCUGGCUAGAGUGUGGUAGGGGAGAUCGGAAUUCCUGGUGUAGCGGUGAAAUGCGCAGAUAUCAGGAGGAACACCGGUGGCGAAGGCGGAUCUCUGGGCCAUUACUGACGCUGAGGAGCGAAAGCGUGGGGAGCGAACAGGAUUAGAUACCCUGGUAGUCCACGCCGUAAACGAUGGGUACUAGGUGUCUGGGGGAGCGACCCCCUGGGUGCCGGCGCUAACGCAUGAAGUACCCCGCCUGGGGAGUACGGCCGCAAGGCUG
rnacentral:rRNA from 1 species